UUGUUGCUCGCUUCCCCCUCACUGGCUGCGUGAUUGAGUUUCCGACACAGCCGGCGUAUAUGUAAAUCAUUGGGGGGGCACGUUAAAUGAUGAAAUUGGAGCAUUUGCCCUCAAAUUUGACAAAAUUUUAUCCCCUUAAGCAUGGCACCUUUCAUUAGUGAGGCCUCUCCAGAGUUUGCCAACGUCCUUUUAACACCCCAGCCUUGCUGGGGGAGAGAGCGGGGUGGGGGACGGGGGGUUGUAUCAAUCCGUGGGUGUCCAAAUUGUGACUGAGAUCAGGUAACGAGCGUGGAUGUGUUUGUCUUGUGGAAUCGCUGAAUGUUCCUGGUGCACCUGGCAGCGGUUUUCAUCCUCCAUUGAACUGGGUAGCAUCUUCUGCUGGGGCUGGGUCAAGAACCAGUGGUAGGGAUCUGUUGGGAGCAGACACAUGAGGCUGUUGACCCUGGCCAUGAAUCUGUUUCCAUGGGGAAAAGUUUUAAGCAACCGGGUGAUUAAUGAAAACGGGUGUUUUCAUACCGCAGCUCUUCUGCUUGGGACGGGGGAAUAACCACAGAUGGAGCUAAUGCCCUCAACUGGCUGCCAGUCUAGCCGUUCUCUCUCACUGAGGGGAAUGGAGGGCUUGUUUUCUUGCUGUGAUGGCCCUAAAUUAGAAUUUGAUACGUCUCCUAUAACUAUUCACUGUUUCGAUAUGUUCAGUGCGUCUGUGUGGAAGCUGUUGUGCAGCAGGGAGCCGGGUUGUAUCAAGUCCUACUCUUGAAAUAGCCAUAGAGGCGGGCGGGAGGUGUCAUUUCACAGAAUCGUACCAAACCUUAUUUAUAACCUUUUGUAUCAAAACUAUUCUCCAGGCUAAAAGAAUUAGCAGACACCAGUGAGCUGAACAGCCCAGAGCCCUAGCUCAGGGGCCCUUAAUGAACUGAAAUGGGCUCGCUUUAAAAACCCGGUGGUUUUAUCUGCUGGAGGUUGAGAUAUGUCUCCAUUUUCCUUUGUCCCUGUAGGGCCUCUCUCCCCUGAUCAGUUCAAGUGACCUAAAAUUGGUUUAAUCCUUUAUUCUAAUUUUUUUAAGGUUUAACGAGUAUUCACUAGGUGACCCAUUAAAAAGAACAACAAAAAACAACCCCACAUCGGUUUAGCUCACAGGUUGAUGGCCUGACGCAUACGCAACCAGGCAAAGAUCCAGCCUUCGAUAUUAUGUUUAUAAAGGUUUGAAUGAAUUGGCUUAGAUGGCAGGGAUGGAAAAGUAAGUAGUUCUAGGUUAACUCUUAAGUGAGGAGCGUGUGUCGACGGCUGACUGUGGUUGUGCGGCGUGAUUAAAGAAACUUCACCUCCUUUUCUUUACAGCAAUAAUCCCUAGAUGCAGCGUUACUUUUAUGCUUGUAGGUAUUAUUCUUUUUUAUAUAGCUUGCUUUUUAACUUCCGUGUUUUCCCCCAAAUAAAGGCUUUUUUUAUUUUAUUUUUUUUAAAUAACCUAAUGGAUUCUCCGUAAUAAAAAGGCCAUGUAUUUCAACCUG